UACGGGGGGAGCAAGCGUUGUUCGGAUUUACUGGGCGUAAAGGGCGCGUAGGCGGUCGUGACAAGUCACUUGUGAAAUCUCCGGGCUUAACUCGGAACGGUCAAGUGAUACUGUCGGACUAGAGUACAGAAGGGGCAACUGGAAUUCUCGGUGUAGCGGUGAAAUGCGUAGAUAUCGAGAGGAACACCUGCGGCGAAAGGCGGGUUGCUGGGCUGAUACUGACGCUGAGGCGCGAAAGCGUGGGGAGCAAACAGG
rnacentral:rRNA from 1 species